UACGGAGGAUCCAAGCGUUAUCCGGAAUCAUUGGGUUUAAAGGGUCCGUAGGUGGAUAAUUAAGUCAGAGGUGAAAUCCUGCAGCUCAACUGUAGAAUUGCCUUUGAUACUGGUUAUCUUGAGUUAUUAUGAAGUAGUUAGAAUAUGUGGUGUAGCGGUGAAAUGCAUAGAUAUCACAUAGAAUACCAAUUGCGAAGGCAGAUUACUAAUAAUUAACUGACACUGAUGGACGAAAGCGUGGGGAGCGAACAGG
rnacentral:rRNA from 1 species